rnacentral:lncRNA from 1 species
AAUUCUUUUGUUUUUUUAAAGAAAGAAGGAACCUCAUAUAAAAUUUCUCGUCUAACAUAAUUUCUUGUCUAUGCUUGUUAUUUGAAUGGCCACAUCUCCUGCAUUGUAGUUCAAUUAUUUCAUUGGAGCGUCAUCCUAAUUAAGACCUUGCCUUAUAAUCUCUUUUUGCAGUAUACAUCUCGUUUCCUUCCUUUCCAAAUCCCAAUCAGUUUAUAAUUGGUUGUACUGGUUUAGAAGGGCAGCACAGUCUUACCUCAGCCUUUCUCAUGAUCAUGUUCCUAAAGACGACAGGCUGUUAAGCUUUACUGGGGUAUUGGAUCGGAUUCCCUGUAAAAUGGUUAGAAAUAACAAAGGAAAUCGUCAUUUUUUCUGGGACUGUAAUUCCUGAUUUUUAAGUAUCGUAAUUUUUCACGAUUCUUGGUGGAGCGAACUGCUGAGUUAUCAUCCCAUUUUUAUUUUCUAUGUUUUUAUAUAACGAAAUGGCAUAUGUCAUUAUGCUAUGAAGCACUGUCCUUGAUCUAAAAAAGGGCAAUGUUGAAGCUGUUUGGUAGAGAGGCACAGUGAUUGCCAUAAUGUUCCAGAACAAGAAAGUGAGCUUUUCUGGAAUGGUCCUCACUGUCAUCGUGCAGAAUGUGAGAAGAUUGUGCAGAGGGUUUUAAAAGCUCGUUGUUGAAAUUAUAUUUUUCUUUGCAUUCUGUGAUAUGGGCGAUAGUUCUUUGGACCUAGCGUGUGUUACACUUGCUGUUGGCUGUGGUAUUUUCUCAUCUGACUGAGGUAUCUAUCCCCAGUUAUCACCCCUAUGUAUAUGUGGGUUUGCAAAGUGCGUAUGUGAUGUGACUCGUGUUAAUUCACAGAGUGAAGCUUCUUCUUUUGAUUCCUACCUGUGGUUGCGCAGUCUUUAUGCCGUUGUAAAUCCUUUGCUUAAUUCGACUGGCCAACCUUUUUUGCAGGGAAAAUAAGAGCCUAACAGGAACAGCUCGAUAUGCUAGUAUCAAUACUCACCUCGGCAUUGGUGAGGGGAUCUUGGUUCACGUGUUGAUAACCGAUGAUUUUCCUGUUUUCUCAUUUUAUGCAACAAAUAAGAGCCUAACAAGGGUUUAUCUUGUUGGUGCAGAACAAAGUAGGAGAGAUGAUCUCGAGUCUCUAGGUUAUGUUCUCAUUUAUUUCCUAAGAGGAAGGUUUGAAUCGAUGACAUUCUCUGCUGUGGAGUAUUGAGUGUGCCUAAUCGGUUUCUCCUUUUAUUCUCCUAUCUGAUUACUUUUUCAUCAGUCUUCCCUGGCAGGGCCUCAAAGCUGGCACAAAGAAGCAGAAAUACGAGAAAAUCAGUGAAAAGAAAAUGCUUACUCCAAUAGAGGUGACUUGAGUUGCUUCUCUACUAGUUAAUUCCAUUUCAAUUUUAUAAGGUUUACCAAUGCUGGGGUAACUUUUACAUUUCUAGAUAACUGUUGGUGACUGUUAAAGAUUACUGAUUUUUUCAAAACUAUGAACAGGUUUUGUGCAAAAAUUUUCCACCAGAAUUCAUGUCAUACUUCCAGUAUUGCAGAUCGUUGCAGUUUGAUGGCAAACCCGAUUACUCCUACUUGAAGCGACUUUUCCGCGAUCUCUUUAUCCGAGAAGGUAUGUGUAAGCGAGUUUAGCAGUCACGGUUUAUCCCUCUGUUCGUCACCGAAGCUUUUCAAGUGGGCAACAGUAUCUAUUUUUGAACACUCCCCUGCGUGAUGGUUGAUAUCGCUUAGUUUUUUUUUUUCUCAGGCUAUCAGUUUGAUUAUGUAUUUGACUGGACUAUAUUGAAGUACCCGGGACAUCUAAGCACUGGGGUACAUUUUUUUCUCAGGCUAUCUAUCGUUUGUUUUCUUGACCGUGGUAUUUUUCAAAAUUUGGCAUGUCGAAAAUGCAUGUUCACAUGGAUCAAUUGCCCAUCUUUCAGUCGCAGACUGGAGAAACAGGUGCAGGCAUUGGAUCAUCUGCUAGUAGACCAGAACGGACAUCAGGUUUGAUUUAGGAAACGUUGAUUUUACAGAUCGUUCAGAAAAUCUCAUCCGUUUGUUUUUAUGAUUCACUAUUGUGGUAUAGAAGCCCUCCUCUCAAUGCUCAUGCUAUCCAUUCUCUGGGGCAAAAGAUUCGUAAUAGAUUCUCUGGUGCAGUCGAGGCGCCUGCUAGAAGGAAUGGCUCAGGUUCUGGUCGCCUUGCUGAUCACUUCAAGCUCAAACUAUCGGAGGAAGUGCCUACGUCAUCCAAAGAACCUGUCAGUCCUCAACUCCCUAACCUUUCCAGUUAAUUUCCUUGCUCGCAUGAUUUUUCAUGUCACACAAAAUCGAAUCCUAAGAAACAAGUCCAUGCGGCCCAUAGAAGAAAAGAAAAUCUGGAGAGUUGGAUUGGCUGGUUCUAGGGCUCUUUGAUUAUUAAUUCGUAUCAUAAUGUUGAUGAGGUUUCUGGUAACGUUUUUGAGUUCUACGCAUCGCUCUUAAUCUGUGCGCGCACAGGCGCGCAUGCUUCGCGGAUGAUUUGCCGGCUAGUUUUGGAUCGUUGACCGCAACGCGUUGCUCUCGUGCGAUGCGGGACGACUCGAUGAUUGCUCUCCAAUUGUGUGUUCUUGGACGCCAGUGGGGCUCGCUCGUGGAUUAUUCCGGUCAGCGGACUUAGAUCGCCGGACACCGACGUCUUUCUUCUGCCCGCUGUUUUUCAGAUGGCAGAUUCCGAGAAUCCCGGGGGCUCCUCGUCGCGGAACGGCAGCAGCUCGAAGAGGGCCGUGGUCUCGAGCAGCAGGACCCCGAGCUUCUCCUGCGAGCCCAUCGACCAGCAGCUGGCCCGCGCCAGCCGUGUGAUUUCGGACAUCAGCGCCCGCCCAGCCGCCGCCGCCGCCGCCGCCGCCCCGAGGAUUCCUCCCUCCGCCCUCGAAUCCGCUCCCAAGGUCCUCCCUCGCCACACCGUCGGGAGGAGCUCCCGCGACGACGCUCUCAAGGCGUUGGAGUUCCUCUCCAUAGCGGCCGAGAAGAGGAAGUGACGGCCAUGCGUGCCUCUCUCCCUCGCUUGCCACCAGUACUGAGCUGAGGAGGAAGGCUUCUCGCGCCGCCCCGCCCCGAUGUCGAAGGCGGCGAACGAGUGCCCCAACUCCCUCCGGGCUUGUUGUUUGACGUUUACACCACUUGUGUGUUGGACCCCGACCGGGCUCUUCUUCUUCUUCUUCACUGAGGUUCCUCCUGUAUAAACGAAGAAGAAAAAAAAAAAACUCUCGUGGAGCUUUUUCGUCCCCAUCAUUGUCUUUGAUCACAGCAUCUCACCCACCCUCAAUUUUCUAACCCUCUCUCUCUCUAUCUUAUCUCUCCACCGCGAGCUCCAGUGUCUUCGAGCGGUACAAUAUGGUGGUAGGAAUCUGUCUAUUCUCUCUCUCUCUCUCUAAGAAAUAUCUAUAUAUAGCUCUGAGUUUUGGGGCAGCCGUUCUGAGUUCUGGGGACUAUGGAUUGGAGGAGCUAAAGAGUUAUUACGGGUGGGGUGGUCGGUUUGUUUGCUGCUGAUCGUUGGAAGCCUUCAGUUAUUCGGAGGAUUUGGGCGUCGGAGUCGACUGAGGUGAAAAGUCGCCGUGUUUUCGUCGAUUUUUAGGUGUUCAUGGUAUUCUGUUCCUAGGCUGCUUGAAUUCUUGGUUGUUGAAAGAUAAUUACGUCGCCCUUGCCGCAUAUUCGGGCAACUUCCAGCCAUGGAACGCGUCAUUGCUGGGAAAUUUAAGCUUAGGAGAAAGAUCGGCGCUGGAUCUUUUGGCGAGAUUUACCUCGGUAUUUUGGUAUAGAGGCCUUCCUGUUCCGCCUCUUUUGGGUGAUCAUUCGCUAUCCGCGAUUCUCGCGAGGUUCCUAAUUUUGCUCUUCGUUUGUUUGCCUUUUUCAAGGUGUUAACCUACAAAGUGGAGAAGAGGUCGCCGUCAAGUUGGUAUGUCUUGUUGGCUUGUCUCCCCUCUUUCACUUACAUGAACCUGGUGAAGAAAUGAACGCUGGGCAUCUUAAUCGAACGGGUUGCAAAUGCAUCCGAAGAUUAUUCUUUCUUUCAAUGAUAGAAGCGGCGCCCUCCUUUGGUCCAUUCAUUUUCCCUUUGCUCGCCCAAGUUUUAAACAUCCUGCUACAAUCCAUCGAGCAUACUGUGAUGUCUAAAAGGACAUGCCGGAUUCCGUGCAUUAAAGGAUUGUCACCGCCCAGCCUUUUCACUGGUGAUUGGCAUUUACAUAGUAUGCAUCCUGUGCUUGUAUUUAAGGAGAUGGGUUUGCCUGGGAGUGUCGAAACUGAUUGCCCUUAUCGUUUUCAUUUCACCUUUUUGGGUAGAUAUCCUCCAGAGGAAAUAAAUCGUGCAAACAGGCCCCUAAGUUGUGUCUAUGCAGUCUCCUGGGCGUUGGAACCAUUGAUGUUCGCUAUAUAAGAUUCAUCUGAACAACAUUUAUUAAACAGCCAGUUCAGAGAAUGCCCCCCUUUUCCAAAGUAUUCAAGCAAUUGCUUUGAAGGAAGGAUUUCUCAGGCGGAAGGGCAAGUAAUGAUACUUUAGGAGCAAUUGCAGAUUUCUUCAGUGGAAUUUGAUUGGUACCUAGAUAAUCAUAUUUUUUCUUCGUUAUUGCUUGUCCAUAUGGUGUACAUAUAAAGUAUAUGACUUCAUCUUUAGAGCCAUUUCAAAUCCAUAAACGGCCUACCCAGCGCUUAUUUAUUUCUAGUGAAAUUUAUGAAAUUUCACUAGAAAAGUAAUAUGUGCUCAGUAAAGUAGGCUUUAUUAUCUUUUUUUUACUAAUCAUGCGUGAUAGAGAAUGGCAAUUAAUUUUGUCUAUAUUUUAUUCUCUUAACUCUAUACUCACUACUUUGCUUUAAUACAUCUUGUAGUCACAUGACACUUGCUUUAUAAUUUGUAGGAACCGGCACAGUCCAAACAUCCCCAGCUGCAUGAUGAGUCUAAAUUGUAUAAACUUAUUCAGGGAGAAAGUGAGUAUUUCUAACGGUCGGACGUGCUAUUUUUCUAUUAUUGCCUACUUUCCUUCAGUUGUAAUAGAAAGUGCUGAAACGCUUUAUUUGAAGUGCCAUGCUGAUUUAUCUAUCUUGAAUGAAGCUGGAAUUCCCCACAUGAGAUGGUUUGGUGUGGAGGGCAAAUAUAACAUCAUGGUCAUGGAUCUUCUUGGACCAAGCUUAGAGGACUUGUUUAACCGCUGUAGUAAAAAGCUCACUUUGAAAACAGUGCUGAUGCUUGCAGAUCAAAUGGUAAAUGAUAAUAAAGCUAACACUAAUCCCAUUAGAUCUCCUCAAUUUUUGGCAUCAGUGAUAAUCUUUUUUUUGCUUUGUUUUACAGAUCAACCGAGUUGAAUACAUGCACUCAAGGGGCUUCCUUCAUCGAGAUAUAAGUCCAGAAAACUUUCUUAUGGGUUUAGGGCGUAAAGCAAAUCAGGUACAUCUUUCCCUUCUAGGACUUCUUCUCAUGGGGGUUCAGUGGAUUCUGAAUUUAUUUAAUGCCAGGAGAAAGGAUGUAAAGUCCUAUGCUGAUUCCAACUAUUGAAUACCAAUUAAAUGUGUAUGCUCAAUAAGAGUGGAUCUACCGCGAUGCCUCACUAUUUUCGAUUGUUGUGUGUCAGAGUUUUACUUCAUAGUUUGUCAUGUGGCCUAUUUUCACAUUUGCUAAAUAAUUAAGAAUUAAUUUCUCUUAGAGAGUGUGUAUUUUUUGAUUAAAUGAAUGAAUAUUUCAUUUUAUUUAUGUACAAGAACAGGUUCAUGAUCGUAUAUCAUUCUCAUUUUAAAUGCAGGUUUACAUUAUUGAUUAUGGUCUUGGAAAGAGGUAUAAAGACUUUGAAACACGUAAACAUAUUCCCUACAGGUAAUUCUUUUGUUUUGUUAAAGAAAGAAGGAACUUCAUAUAAAAAUUCUCGUCUAACAUCAGUUCUUGUCCAUACUUGUUAUUUGAAUGGCCACAUCUCCUGCAUUGUAGCUCAAUUAUUUCAUUGGAGCGUCAUCCUAAUUAAGACCUUGCCUUAUAAUCUCUUUUUGCAGUAUACAUCUCGUUUCCUUCCUUUCCAAAUCCCAAUCAGUUUAUAAUUGGUUGUACUGGUUUAGAAGGGCAGCACAGUCUUACCUCAGCCUUUCUCAUGAUCAUGUUCCUAAAGACGACAGGCUGUUAAGCUUUACUGGGGUAUUGGAUCGGAUUCCCUGUAAAAUGGUUAGAAAUAACAAAGGAAAUCGUCAUUUUUUCUGGGACUGUAAUUCCUCAUUUCUAAGUAUCGUGAUUUUUCACGAUUCUUGGUGGAGCGAACUGCUGAGUUAUCAUCCCAUUUUUAUUGUCUAUGUAUUUAUAUAACGAAAUGGCAUAUGUCUUUAUGCUAUGAAGCACUGUCCUUGAUCUAAAAAAGGGCAAUGCUGAAGCUGUUUGGUAGAGAGGCACAGUGAUUGCCAUAAUGUUCCAGAACAAGAAAGUGAGCUUCAAGGUUGUGUAGCGAAGUAUUCUAUUCUUUGACCUUGACAGGUGCAGUUUCUAGAAUGGUGCUGACUGUCAUCGUGCAGACUAUGAGAAGAUUGUGUCGAGGGUUUUAAAAGCUCGUUGUUGAAACUAUGUUUUUCUUUGCAUUCUGUGAUAUGGGCGAUACUUCUUUGGAUCUAGUGUGUGUUACACUUGCUAUUGGCUGUGAUAUUUUCUCGUCUGACUGAGGCAUCUAUCCCCAGUUAUGUUGCGUAUGUGAUGUGACUUGUGUUAGUUCACAGAGUGGAGCUUCUUCUUUUGAUUCUUACCUCUGGUUGCAUAGUUUUUAUGGCGUUGUAAAUCCUUUGCUUGAUUCGACUCGCCAACCGCCAACCUUUUUUUGCAGGGAA